rnacentral:misc_RNA from 1 species
CAGAUAUGUCCAUGCCCAACCAAUAAUUGAUCCAAUUUGGGGGGGAUCCUUUAGAAUCCAAAAUAAGAAAAACUCAACUUUCUUUGGACUUGUGGCCCAUUUAGCUUGCCCAAAAGCAGAGGAAGUAGCAAAAGCAUUACCAAUGCGACUGAAUGUAGCAAUUGUUUCUAGAUCUGAGGCAUGGCCUCAGAGUUUUCAGAUAGAACCACCAACUGAUGAAAGUAUUGCUCUUUAUUUUUUUCCUCAACAUGAAAGGGAUGAAAAAGUUUUUGAUGACCUGAUGGAUGACCUAAUCAUUCAUGACCA